rnacentral:lncRNA from 1 species
CAAACAUACAUGAAUAGAGAACUUUAGCACAAAAUCCAGCCAAAUAUAACACUAUUUAAGGGGGAAAAAAGACCAAAGUUGGAGAAAAUAUAACCAAACCUAGCUAGGCGAGUGUAAAGUAAUUGCUUAGACAAAAGAUUGCAUUUCUCAAUGGUAGGAGGUUCCUGAAUGUAUUGCUUGUUCUGCUCCAACAAUUGCUUGUAGUAAACAGAUCCAUGCUUGGAUAUAAAUUUAGAUGCUUGACAUGCUUUGGACUGCAACUGCUGCAACUUCGCCGCCAUUAAAUCUGCAAGUGAAGCAGAAAGCACAAAGUUAAUCCAUAAUUCAAUUAUAUUCUAAUCAAGUAAACAAUAUAUUACAAUACCUAAAUUAAUUUAAGAAAACCUAAAUUAUUCUACUGAUUGAUAAUCAAUACAGUUUUUGAUGCAAAAAUAAAACCGUAUAUAUUCGGCGAUUUAUGAAAAUGAGUGAAAGCAUGAGAAUGAGAUAGAAUAAAACGAGAGAAAAGGCGCAGAUCUGAAGAGGAAUGCAAGAAAGGAGAGUAACUAUAGACGAUUCAUUCAAAGAUGAAAUAAUAAAACGGAAAAGAGAAGAUUGCUACCUUGUGGAGUGAAUUGAUCGGAAAUUGUUUAGCCGCCGUUACCACGCGGAUUCUGCAAGAAACAAGGAUGCGGCACUCACUCUCUCUAUCUGCGACUACCAACUUUCUAAGUCUCAAACCUUGUGUGCUUUUUUUUCUAUAUUUUUUUUUAGUAUCUUCAAGUCUUUUGAACAGUUUUGGGCCAUAUGAACGAAAGUAGGUGGCAAUGAAGUUUCUAUUACCACCCCUGUUUUUUCGUCAAUAAAGUUACACCCCACCGUAAAAGUUUAUUCAUUGUUACUUUUCUCAAAAUACCCAUGUUCCAAAGUUUUUUUUUUAUUUUUAAUCAUUCCAAAGCAGACUUCUAAAAGUUAUAUUUCUUGUCCUAAGUAGGCUAGUUCUAUUGUAGGCUAUCGUGACAACCUUAGUCCUAAACUAAUAUUUAAAAAUUGUAUGAAAUUUAAUAAUGAGGAUCUUAAAAGUAAAAUUCAUAAUAUUUUUUAAUUGUAAUGUCUAAAAAAUAAUAUGAAUAAUGUUAAUUUAAUAAAAAUAAGAUAAAUUGAUUAUAGACAUGUAUACUUCAAAACUCAAUUAUUUUUAUAACAUAAAAUGACAUUAAUCAGAUUAUUAUCUCAAAUAAUCAGUCUUCUUAAAUAUUUUACUUAUUCUCAAAUACCAAUACACAAUAGAACUUCUCUCUUAUUUAUUGUACAUUUUGUAAAUUAAAAAGUUUCAUAAAUAAAUUAGAAGCCAACACUCGUACCACAAGUGUUUCAGAAGUUUUUUUUAUUAAGAAGUUAUUAAUAACAAACUACUAUCCUUAUAAAAAGUACUCGUAAAUAAGGCAUAAUAUAACAAAAAGAAUAAACCAUGACAUUUAAAAUAAUUUGAAAUAUUGCAUUGUGUUUUACCUGUACAAAGUGAAUAUUCUCCCCAAUGAUGGUUGACUUCUAAGAAGAAGAAGAAGAAAAAACAAAGGCUAUUUUAACUUGUUCAAUUUUGUGAAUUCACAAACCUUAAUAACAUAGGUUGGCCUAGAGCUUGACUCAUUUAAAUAGUAAAAUUGAUUGAAUAUUUGAAGUUAAUUUUGCAUAAUUUUACUAAUAACUCAAUUUGUUUACAUCACUAUCACCUCAUAGAUUCAACUCCUUUAAAAUGAACGACUUACUUUAAAGAUUUAGGUAUAUUAUCAAUUGUUAAUAAAUAAAUCAAAAAUUAACAUAAAAUGCAUAUACAUAACCAAUCAUAAGUGAUUAUAAAGUGAUUAUAACCAAACAUAAAUGAUUAUAAUCUCAACUAUUAGCCAAAUACUCAUUUCAUAUAUGUAACCGAACCUAAAUUUAACAUCGUGACCAGAAAACAGUACAAAAAUUCCACAAUUUUUAUUCUCGUUGUAAUGUUUCAUGCAAAGCUGAAAACAUUGAUAGUCAUUGAAAAUGGCAAAAAUGAUUAAAAAAUUACAGGAAAAUAAUUAUCGUCGAAUACCACAGCUAGCUUUCUUACAUGAUAAAAGAACAAUGUAUGGUUCAUCCCGCUUCAAAUACAAGAGGUUACUGAGGCUUAUUAACCACUAUUUUCUCAACCUUUUUCCCUCGAAAAAAGAAUGACAAAUUGCUUGUAGAAUGCCCAAAAUCGACAUAAUGUUAUAAAUGACAGUACUCCUGACUUUAGGAGAAUAGACCCCGCUAAAUCUUACAUUAUUAAGUGAUUACUGUCAGACAUAGUAACCCGUGAAAGUAAAUCCCCUUCCAACAAUCUCACCAGCACAAAACCAUGCAAAGCAUUCCAGGCCAAACAAAACGGCAAUACCUGCAUCUUCAACCUUCAACUCUUGCCUAUUCUUCCAGAAUUGCUUGGUAUAAUCAAGUUCCUUCCAAAAGGACUCACAACGACCUGGAAUACUGCAAAACACGGUGAGUUAUAACUUAUUAGUAAUAGAAGCGACAAAAACUUAGAAUAGAUUUGUUAUACAUAUAUAGCUACAAGACACGUGCAAGGAAAUGCUGGAAAAAAGCCCCAGCCAAAAACCAACAUAUCUAUCUAUGCAUACCUAUGGAUCUAGUGGCAUGUUUCAUCAUGCCCUAAACACCAAUAAAUUACAAUUCUAAAUCUGUCUUACGGAUGGCUGUGAUGUAGAAAAAUAAUUACAAAAGCAGAAUAGUUAUUUUAUUUCCUCAGAGAUUUAUUGGUCAACGUAUUUAAUUUUAGAACUACUUAAACCGUUAGGACGGGUCGAUAAACAGCCAUUCUCUUUGCAUUUCUAUAGGAGUGCAGAACAAUGUUCAGAAUAUAUCUUCUGAUGUUUCAAUUCAACAUAAGAAUAGAAUUCUGGUCAUAUCUACAGGUUCAAGGUAAGAUUCCGAUUCCUAUACCUCAUGAUCCCUAAUUCAUGACCUUAACUCUAAGAUUCCUAUUCCUAUACCACUAAGUUAAUGACACUUCACUGCUGAGAAAGUACUCAUGUUCAUCACAUGAUCACAUGACCAUCUUAUAUAUAAUAGCAAAAUAACUAGCAAAUAAAUAGUAUUAAUCUAAUACAAAACUAAGAUGCUUCAUAAUAACACUUCGGGUCUCUGACUGUCCACUUUGUAUUUCAAGUGUAAGUUCCAACCAACAUAAUUAAAAAUUAGGUUCAAAACUAGCGACCUCGCCCUCCAUUGCUUCCUCCCUCAAUACAGAAAAGGAUAGGCAGUUAGAAAGACCGACAUCAAAGUGUAAUGUAACAAAGAAUGUCAAUAUUAAUAACUUCAUCUAAAAUCAAUAAAUGUGGCCAAGAAGCAUGGAUAGUUAGAAUAUUACACACAAAAUCCAGCUAGAUAUAACAUUGUUAAAAAAGCGAAAAGUUGGACAAAAUAAAACCUAGCAAGGCGGGUGUAAAAUAAUUGCUUAGACAGAAGGUUGCAUUUCUCUAUUGUAGGAGGAUCCUGAAUGUAUUGCUUGUUUUGCUCCAACAACUGCUUGUGGUAUGCA